AGUUGAUGUCGUUUUCUCGUAUUCGUAAAGCAUGGAACAAGCCUCUGAGAAAUUUGGAAGAGGUAACUGAGACGAAAUCGUGUUUUUGAGGAGCAAGUAUGGAGAAUGAGGCAAACCAGCUACAAGUUGCAAAACCAAAUCUGGAUCUGAAAUUGGAUUGCCGAUUGCCGUUAGAGAAUCAGCUGCGGAUUUUAAUUUUUUGAUAUAUGAAUCUAUGGUUUCGAGAUCCCCUUUUCUGGUGCCGUGAAAUUGCAUUUUCCGUUGCUGAUAUAUAAUUAUUGCUUCAUCUUUUGAAUUUGAAGAAGAAGUACCA
rnacentral:misc_RNA from 1 species